ensembl:rRNA 5S_rRNA 5S ribosomal RNA
GUCUAUGGCCAUCCCAACUUUAAUGUGCCAGAUCUUAUCGGAUCUCAGAAGCUAACCAAGGUUGGACCUAAUUAGUACUUGGAUGAGCGACUGCCUGGGAAUACCAGGUGCUUUUGGCC